AGUGAACGCUGGCGGUAGGCCUAACACAUGCAAGUCGAACGGCAGCACAGGAGAGCUUGCUCUCUGGGUGGCGAGUGGCGGACGGGUGAGGAAUACAUCGGAAUCUACUUUUUCGUGGGGGAUAACGUAGGGAAACUUACGCUAAUACCGCAUACGACCUACGGGUGAAAGCAGGGGAUCUUCGGACCUUGCGCGAUUGAAUGAGCCGAUGUCGGAUUAGCUAGUUGGCGGGGUAAAGGCCCACCAAGGCGACGAUCCGUAGCUGGUCUGAGAGGAUGAUCGGCCACACUGGAACUGAGACACGGUCCAGACUACUACGGGAGGAAGCAGUGGGGAAUAUUGGACAAUGGGCGCAAGCCUGAUCCAGCCAUACCGCGUGAGUGAAGAAGGCCUUCGGGUUGUAAAGCCCUUUUGUUGGGAAAGAAAUCCAGCUGGUUAAUACCCGGUUGGGAUGACGGUACCCAAAGAAUAAGCACCGGCUAACUUCGUGCCAGCCGCCGCCGCUG
rnacentral:rRNA from 1 species